rnacentral:rRNA from 1 species
GUGGGGAAUAUUGGACAAUGGGCGAAAGCCUGAUCCAGCCAUGCCGCGUGUGUGAAGAAGGUCUUCGGAUUGUAAAGCACUUUAAGUUGGGAGGAAGGGCAGUAAGUUAAUACCUUGCUGUUUUGACGUUACCGACAGAAUAAGCACCGGCUAACUUCGUGCCAGCAGCCGCGGUAAUACGAAGGGUGCAAGCGUUAAUCGGAAUUACUGGGCGUAAAGCGCGCGUAGGUGGUUCAGCAAGUUGGAGGUGAAAUCCCCGGGCUCAACCUGGGAACUGCCUCCAAAACUACUGGGCUAGAGUACGGUAGAGGGUAGUGGAAGUUCCUGUGUAGUGGUGAAAUGCGUAGAUAUAGGAAGGAACACCAGUGGCGAAGGCGACUACCUGGACUGAUACUGACACUGAGGUGCGAAAGCGUGGGGAGCAAACAGGAUUAGAAACCCCUGUAGUCC